rnacentral:lncRNA from 1 species
AAUGUUAACUUUGGGGAAUCACUAUGCUGAGGGAAUUUACACUAUUUGCCUUUCUUUCCAGUGAACUUGUGUGGAUGAAGAGAAGAAUAAUAACUAUCGCUGAGCCCACCAGCUUUGUGUACCAGACAUUAGUGCAGGCACAGGAGAAAGACACCGGCUUCUUUCAGAUGCCCUACAGAAAAGGAGGAGGGGGAGGAAAGAAGGAACAGGACACCUCUUUCCCCUCUCCCAGGACACCUGCACAGGUCCAAGGUAUAGCCUGACACCAGUGCUCCUUGCUGGGAAUAUGGCCAGGUUUCCCCCAUCCCUGUACACCUGCCAGCUUGCUGAAGCACCAGCGGUGACCCGUUCUGCCCAAAAUGAAACUUCCUCCAUGGAGGUGGAGUGCAGCUGUCCUUCAGGGAUGUCAGCAACUGCUUGUCCAGCUGAUGCUGUCAGGAGGAUUGCAUCAGGCCUGUGAGGCGCUUGCCUGCCAGAGACUUUCCCUAGAGAAACAAACAAACAGAAGACGAAAGCCAAGCUGUGAGUGAAGCUGCUGCAAGUAAAACAGACCAGCCUGCUCAAUCAGCUGGGCCAUGACUGAGCAUGAAGGGCAGGAGACUGAAACAGUUGAACAGAGGAAACCUGCCAGUAGAGCUAACACACGUCUCUGGAGUCUGCAGACAUAUCAGAUGUCACAACUGAGUUUCGCUUGUAUAGUUAUGACAGCAUCAAAAAGGCCUUCUUUGAUGCCUACUCAUUGUAUUAUAGCUCGCACUUACCUGAGUAGUUUCCCCUUUUCUAUCUGUGUAUGCAAAUAUUUGAUCUUUAUAUAUAUGGUGCAUACAUAUGUAUUAUAG